CUUCUACUUCCUCCGUCCAACAAAGGAUGUCUCAACUUUGACUAAAUUUGAAUGCAUCUAUACACUAAGUCAUGUCUAGAUACAUCCAAAUUUUGACAAACUUGAGACAUCUUUUGUUGGACGGAGGGAGUAGUUG
rnacentral:pre_miRNA from 1 species